GACGAACGCUGGCGGCGUGCUUAACACAUGCAAGUCGAACGGAAAGGCCCUGCUUUUGUGGGGUGCUCGAGUGGCGAACGGGUGAGUAACACGUGAGUAACCUGCCCUUGACUUUGGGAUAACUUCAGGAAACUGGGGCUAAUACCGGAUAGGAGCUCCUGCUGCAUGGUGGGGGUUGGAAAGUUUCGGCGGUUGGGGAUGGACUCGCGGCUUAUCAGCUUGUUGGUGGGGUAGUGGCUUACCAAGGCUUUGACGGGUAGCCGGCCUGAGAGGGUGACCGGCAACAUUGGGACUGAGAUACGGCCCAGACUCCUACGGGAGGGAGCAGUGGGGAAUAGUGCACAAUGGGCGGAAGCCUGAUGCAGCAACGCCGCGUGCGGGAUGACGGCCUUCGGGUUGUAAACCGCUUUCGCAUGUGACGAAGCGUGAGUGACGGUAAUGGGUAAAGAAGCACCGGCUAACUACGUG
rnacentral:rRNA from 1 species